rnacentral:lncRNA from 1 species
GAAGAAACAAGAGAGAGGGCUUCGGGCAAGAAAAAGCAAGAAAGAAAGGAAGAAAAAGUGUUUCAGGGAAGAAAAAGAAAGAACGAAAAAGGGAGAGCUUUGGGAAGGGGGGCAAGAAAAAAGACAAGAAAGAAGGAAACAAGAGAGACUGCGAGGAGAGUAAGGGAGAAAGAGAGAGACAGUGGAGAGCAAGAAAAUAAGAGAGAAACUAGGAAAAGGGGAAGAGAAAAAGAAAGGAAGAGCAGAAGGAGAGCUUCGGGCAGGGGAAAGAGAGAACGAAAGAGAGAAAGAAAGAAAGGGAGAGGGGAAGAAAACCUGGGGAGAGCAAGAAAGAGAGAGAGAUGGCGUAGAGAUAGAGGGAAAUGACAGGGAUCAGAAAAGAAAAAAAAACAAGAAAGAAAGGAGGAGAAGGGAGCUUCGGGAGAAGAAAAAACAAGCAAGAAAGAAGAGGAAAAAAAGGAGAAGAGAAGAGGAAGAAAGGAAGGGGGAAAUCUGUGGAAGAUUAGAAAGGAAAACAACAAAACAAACGAAGGGAAAAGAAAGACAAAAGAGAGAAUAGAAGGAAGAGAGCAUUUUGCGGAUUUUUUUUUUAGGGUUCAGGCUGGUUUUUCGUCACUUUGGGAGGCAACUUUCUUCAUUUAAUCGGCUUCUUUUUGGAUGUUUUAAGAGAUCUGGGAUAUUUACGGAAGCAUAGGUUUAAUUUUCGUUCAGAAACAUUUUCGAAAUAAUAUCAGGAAGACAUCCAAAUCGGGGUUCAAAAACAGGAGCUUGUCAUUCCUUACAAAAUUCUGGGGUUGCGGUUCAGACGGAUUCCUCGCCAUUUUCACGUUUUCUUGGGAUUAUUUCACAUUCAAAUCAUUUUUUGGGAUAGAGGUAAUCCAAAUUUGUCCUUGGUUCCUAGUAAACUUUCAUUAAUCCUCAUUUUUGCUUCAAGAUUUGGAGGGUUUGUUUGUGGUUUAUUGUUCCAUAGUUUGGGUACCCAUUUGUUGGACUGCUGUUGAUGAUUUCUUAUGCAUUCGACAUUCUGCCUUGCUCUUAGAUCGUUUAUCAUAAUCGAGUCUACUAGGAUUCUUAGAAGAAAAUUUGUUCAUGAAAAUUUGCUGCAACAAGCUCGAGGUUCUUGGCUUGUUACAGCUUGUUGCAGCAAUGUUGACAGAUCCAUUUUUUUUGUUGCUGAAGCUCUUGGUUUGCUUGAAGUUUGUGGUUUACUUGUUGUUUGAUUGGUAUACCAUGUACACGUUUACCGCAAGUUUCUUUCUUUCUGUCUUUGCUGCGUUUUCAUAUCCAGUUGCAUCAUUGGAUCUGCUGGGAAGAAGCAAUUGUAUUUUGGAUGAUGUUAACAACGUUGCUUUGAAGUUAUAGCAUUUGGGUUUGGUUGAUGAAUCAGUAGGCUUCAUUUGAGUUAUUUCGCAUGGGCAUAUUCCAGUUGAAUAAGAAAAAUUGCAGAAGAAACUAGCGAAGAAGAAAGCUUCUUCGAACCAGAUGCACGGAAAUUUCUAAAAAUUGCAUUUUGCCAUCUGUUCUUUCAAAUAAUUCUGAUAUGGCCCAG